rnacentral:rRNA from 1 species
GACGAACGCUGGCGGCGUGCUUAAUACAUGCAAGUCGAGCGGAAAGGCGCGGCGUUUGUGUGUUGGUUGAGUGGCGAACGCGUGAGUAUAACGUGUGUAACCUGUCCCUGUAUUUGGGAUAACUUCAGGAAACUGGGGAUAAUAUCGCAUAGGAGCUCCUGCUCCACGGUGGGCGUUGGUAAGAUUCGGCGGUUGGGGAUCGACUCGAGGGUUAUCAGCUUGUUUGGCUAGUAGUUAAUUACCAAGCCUUUGACGGGUAGCCGGCAUUAGAGCGUGACCGGCCACCAUGGUACUAAGAUACGGCCCAGAAUCCUACGGGAGGCAGCAGUGGGGAAUAUUGCGCAAUGGGCGGAAGCCUGAUGCAGAAACGCUGCGUGCGGGAUGACGGCCUUCGGGUUAUAAACCGCUUUCGCAGGUGACGAAGCGUGAGUGACGGUAAUGGGUCAGGAAGCACCGGCUAACUACGUG